UACAGAGGGGGCAAGCGUUAUUCGGAAUUAUUGGGCGUAAAGGGCGCGUAGGCGGCUUGGCAAGUGGAUGGUGAAAUCCCUCGGCUUAACCGAGGAACUGCCGUCCAAACUGCUUCGCUUGAGACCGGGAGAGGUGAGUGGAAUUCCCAGUGUAGCGGUGAAAUGCGUAGAUAUUGGGAGGAACACCAGUGGCGAAGGCGGCUCACUGGACCGGUACUGACGCUGAGGAGCGAAAGCGUGGGUAGCAAACAGG
rnacentral:rRNA from 1 species